UCCUAUUGCAUGUGGGUUCGACGCGUCCACGCCCCGCCCCACGAAAAAAGGCGUCGGCUGAUAUGGCCUCGGAUCUGGGGAAGGGCCCUCCUUAGGACUGAGCCAUACUAUGCAGCCACUUCUGCACAGUGGGAUAGGACCUCUACUCUCGCCUGUAUUGUUUUAAGAAAACAGAAAGGGGGAACUGUGGUGAGCCGCUUCUGCCGUUUCUGCAGACUAUGGUCGCCAUUACAAG
rnacentral:lncRNA from 1 species